GGAAGGAUCACUAGUAAAGGAGGUGUUGGGUUUGUGUGUUGUGGAGGUGUUGUUUGGGGACUGAUAAUUGGAGAUCUGAUAAUUGGAGAUCUGAUAAUUGGAGAUCUGAUAAUUGGAGAUCUGAUAAUUGGAGAUCUGAUAAUUGGAGAUCUGAUAAUUGGAGAUCUGAUAAUUGGAGAUCUGAUAUUUGGAGAACUGGACAAGCUGAAGCGGCGCGCAGGCAAGCAAACAUUAUGGCGGUGGCUGAGAGGCUGCUGCUGGUGGCUGUGGCUAGGGUUGGGUGUGUAGUUGGUAAUUAGUGGUUUUUGCUGGUGUGUCUAUUUGGCGUGUUAGUCAGGUGUGUCUAAUCGGCAUGUUUGUCUAUCAUGUCGAUUGGCCAUAUUGUCAGACGCCACGAACUACUGCAACACACAAAACCCGGCCACAGGUGCCACACAUACACACACGUGUGUCUGCGGGUUGACAUGGUGCAAAGAAUACAACUUUUAACAAUGGAUCUCUUGGCUCUCGCAACGAUGAAGAACGCAGCGAAAUGCGAAACGUAGUGUGAAAUGCAUAGACCUGUGAAUCAUUGAAUCUUUGAACGCACCUUGCGCUCUGCGGCUUGCUGUGGAGCAUGCCUGUGUGAGAAUUGGAAAGCUAUAACUCUGGUUGAUUUGGGGUGCUGUUCAGAUGGACACGCUCUUAAAGAAAUGGCACAGCAGGGGGCGUGCAAGGCGGGUUAAGCAUGGGCUGGGGUCCAUCAAACGUCAAGCUGUCCGUGUGCUGUGCGCAAUGCUGUGUUGGUGGCCGUGUAUCCGUAUCUGUUAAUUUAACUGUACUCGACACACCAAACCAACACACACAUAUCACCUCUCUCACACAGGCAAGAGUACCCGCUGAACUUAAGCAUAUCAGUAAGCGGAGGAAAAGAAACUAACAAGGAUUCCCCAGUAACGGCGAGUGAAGCGGGAUGAGCUCAAAUUUUAAAUCGACGCGGGAUCCGCGGCGACUUGUAAUCUAAAGACACGCGCUGGGCAGCAGCAGCUCCCCAGGUUCCCUGGAAGAGGACGCCAGAGAGGGUGACAGCCCCGUGGGGGAGCAGGGCGGCAGCGGCGGGCGCGUGGUCGACGAGUCGGGUUGUUUGGGAAUGCAGCCCCAAUCGGGUGGUAAAUUCCAUCCAAGGCUAAAUACGGGCGAGAGACCGAUAGCGAACAAGUACCGUGAGGGAAAGAUGAAAAGAACUUUGGAAAGAGAGUUAAAAGUGUGUGAAAUUGUUAAAAGGGAAACGUGGGGUGCGGGGUUAGGGGUCGGGAAUUAGUUACACGACAUGUUAUGUUAUGCUACUACCGGAUCCAUGUCAGUGGUUGUUACAACUCGCCAAUAAAGGGGAUGAAAGAUGACGUUGCUCCUCGCGAGCAUCGUUUUACAGUCAUCUCUGUAGGGCGCAUUGCGACAGCUCACACAAUAUAGUAUUGUGUUGUAUUGUGCACUGACAAACACUCCACUCCACGACCCGUCUUGAAACACGGACCAAGGAGUCUAACGUAUAUGCAAGUACGCGAGUGACAAACUUGUGUGCGGAACAAACGUAACUAGUGGGAGUCGAGAAUACUCUAAUUUUUGACGCACCACAGACCUAGCCUAAUGCUCGCAGAGGGACUAGCGUCAGAGCAUAUCCGCUGGGACCCGAAAGAUGGUGAACUAUGCCUGAAUAGGGCAAAGCCAGAGGAAACUCUGGUGGAGGCUCGCAGCGGUUCUGACGUGCAAAUCGAUCGUCGAAUUUGGGUAUAGGGGCGAAAGACUAAUCGAACCAUCUAGUAGCUGGUUCCCUC
rnacentral:misc_RNA from 1 species